GACGAACGCUGGCGGCGUGCUUAACACAUGCAAGUCGAACGGUGAAGGGACUGGUUUUGCUGGUCCUGGAUGAGUGGCGAACGGGUGAGUAACACGUGAGUAACCUGCCCCCUUCUUCUGGAUAACCGCAUGAAAGUGUGGCUAAUACGGGAUAUUCUGUGUCUGUCGCAGGGUGGGCCUGGGAAAGAGUGUGCCUUUUUUGGUGAUUUUGGUGGGGGAUGGGCUCGCGGCCUAUCAGCUUGUUGGUGGGGUGAUGGCCUACCAAGGCGGUGACGGGUAGCCGGCCUGAGAGGGUGGACGGUCACACUGGGACAGAGACACGGCCCAGACUCAUACGGGAGGCAGCAGUGGGGAAUAUUGCACAAUGGGCGCACGCCUGAUGCAGCGACGCCGCGUGAGGGAUGGAGGCCUUCGGGUUGUGAACCUCUUUCGCCAGUGAAGCAGGCCUGCCUCUUUUUGUGGGUGGGUUGACGGUAGCUGGAUAAGAAGCGCCGGCUAACUACGUG
rnacentral:rRNA from 1 species